UACGAAGGGGGCUAGCGUUGCUCGGAAUCAUUGGGCUUAAAGGGCGCGUAGGCGGGCUGGCCAGUCCGGGGUGAAAGCCCACGGCUCAACCGUGGAAGUGCCUUGGAUACUGCCAGUCUCGAGGGAGGUAGGGGCGUGCGGAACUUCCGGUGGAGCGGUGAAAUGCGUAGAUAUCGGAAGGAACACCGGUGGCGAAAGCGGCGCGCUGGACCUCUUCUGACGCUGAGGCGCGAAAGCCAGGGGAGCAAACGGG
rnacentral:rRNA from 1 species